GCCUGGGUGGCUCAGUCAGUUAAGCAUCUGACUUCGGCUCAGGUCAUGAUCUCACACUUCAUGGUUUCGAGCCCCACCUCAGGUU
rfam:Felis catus isolate Cinnamon breed Abyssinian chromosome X, whole genome shotgun sequence.